UACGUAGGGGGCAAGCGUUGUCCGGAAUCAUUGGGCGUAAAGAGCGCGUAGGCGGCCAGAUAAGUCCGCUGUGAAAACUCGAGGCUCAACUUCGAGCUGUCGGUGGAAACUAUUUGGCUAGAGUCCGGAAGAGGAGAGUGGAAUUCCUGGUGUAGCGGUGAAAUGCGCAGAUAUCAGGAAGAACACCCGUGGCGAAGGCGGCUCUCUGGUACGGAACUGACGCUGAGACGCGAAAGCGUGGGGAGCGAACAGG
rnacentral:rRNA from 1 species